AGACACCGAAGAUAUUUUCCCACUUUUCUUGACAUGAAACCAAUGGUAGCCUUAAUUUAUAAAUAAAGAAAUUAUAUCCACCUAUGCGGUGUUCAGCACUCAUUUCCAUCGUUCAACAUUUACGUGUAUAUGUUAUAUAUAUAUAUAUAUCAAUACACACACACACACA